CCCUCCCCCGCCGAAAGCCAGUACUCCUCCGACCUACACCCCGAGCCCCAAGCCUCCGGCGACCAAGCCGCCUACCUACCCGACCCCCAAGCCACCAGCUACCAAGCCUCCGACACCUCCUGUGUACACUCCGAGCCCCAAACCACCGGUUACAAAGCCUCCUACACCCAAGCCGACCCCGCCGGUGUACACGCCGAACCCCAAGCCACCGGUUACCAAGCCUCCGACACACACGCCGAGCCCCAAGCCUCCGACAUCCAAGCCGACUCCGCCGGUGUACACACCGAGCCCCAAGCCACCGAAGCCGUCCCCGCCGACGUACACGCCGACCCCGAAGCCACCGGCUACCAAGCCGCCCACCUCAACUCCGACGCACCCUAAGCCGACGCCGCACACGCCUAUCCCCAAGCCCACGCCGCCAACCUACAAGCCGGCACCGAAGCCGACGCCGCCGGCGCCCACCCCGCCGACAUACACGCCGCCGGUGUCGCACACCCCCAGCUCGCCGCCGCCGCCGCCGCCGCCGCCUUACUACUAGACGAAGAAGUGAUGAGGUCUCCCACUCUGCUGUCAGUCUCGGAGCAUUUAGGUACGUGCUACAAGAAUGGAGCAUGCACAUACAUACAUACAUACAUACAUUUUCUAUAUAUGCUUGUGUCAAAUGUAUCAUACUGUACUCACUAACAAUCGGUUCCGUUUUUUUGUGUUGCAGAAGGUGAUCGAUCGAAGAGUUUGUGUCCUAGCCAGCCGGCCAAGAUGAGCUGCUGAU
rnacentral:lncRNA from 1 species